rnacentral:tRNA from 1 species
GAAUUUGAAGCGAUGAAUCGCGAUUAGUUUCGACCUAAUUUUAAAUGAUAAAACAUUCGUAUUCU